AUUGAACGCUGGCGGCAGGCCUAACACAUGCAAGUCGAGCGAGCGGCGGACGGGUGAGUAAUGUCUGGGAAACUGCCUGAUGGAGGGGGAUAACUACUGGAAACGGUAGCUAAUACCGCAUACCAUCAGAUGUGCCCAGAUGGGAUUAGCUAGUUGGUGGGGUAAUGGCUCACCUAGGCGACGAUCCCUAGCUGGUCUGAGAGGAUGACCAGCCACACUGGAAAGGAGAAACGGUCCAGGCUUCUACGGGAGGCAGCAGGGGGGAAACUUCCGCAAUGGACGAAAGUCUGACGGAGGAACGGCGCGGGAGAGAUGACGGCCUUCCGGUUGGAAAGUAUGUUAAGCGGGACGACGGUACCGGAAUAGAAAGCCCCGGCUAACUACGUGCCAGCAGCCGCGGUAAUAC
rnacentral:rRNA from 1 species